CGGAUCACGUGACCCGCAAGAUCGGACCAAGACGUGACAUAAUAUUACCGGCAAUCAGCCUCAGAGUCUUGGCUGGGUGCUUGUGUUGUGGAUACUCUAUCAAACUGAAGGCUCGAGAUGAUCCUGUGGCUGCUUGCUGUUUACGUCUCCCUGCUCCUCCUGUUGAGUCCAGCGAUCAUGAUCGUGGUCGCUUACUCGCCGCACCUCCCGGUCCUCAUCAUCAGAAAGUUCAACAACAUCCCCGUGGAGGCCAUCUAAAACAAGUGCUGUGAUUGGUCCAAGUCAUCGGAUAAGCCAAUCACAACACUUGACCUCGAUAUUUUGAUGGCGUGACACAGGCUCCUCGCGCCACCUGCAAGGAUCUGAGAUGCCUCGUUCGAGAUGUUGGCACCGUCUCGAGACAUAUGAGGUCCCGCUCUUGAAAGUUGAACGUAUCUCGGUUCUGGAAGACUCUGUAGCUCUGUCACCUGAUUAUUGACAUUGAUAGACAAAGCGAUGGACAUAGGAGGCAACUGGAAAAUGGCACGAGUCAUGAUUAUUGAAUUAGUUACGUAGCUCUAAAUUUUAAAGAAAAAAUAUUCGACUUCGUGCGAUAAAAUAUUUCAUAUUGUUUUAGAGCACAUAUAAGGCUCAGAUCAGUCCAUACUUUUCUUUUUGAUUUUAUGAAGAUUCUGAAUAAAAAAUGCAAAAGUUAAAUAAAGAAAGAGGACGUUAGGUGCUCCUUCAAGGACUUUCCAUUUACGAAUGUAGCGUUUGCUGCAAAGAGCGAACCGCUUGGGCUCCUACAAGAGGUUCACAUACACACAUGCAGUGAAUGUUGUAUCAGUCGUUUAUGAAGGGGCCCCACAUUCGAUUUUCAGUAAAGUAUAAUUUUUAAUUUUCUUUUAGGAGUAAUAAGAAAAUUUGGUUCAACAAGUUUAAGACUUUGGCCGGAUUCUUUACCCCUUAGAAUCUGAAAGUUUUUUGGGGUUUUUUGCAGUUUUUUAUGUAUAAAGGUCAAUAUUGGUCACGCCUGGUAACGGGAGAUGGAAGGAUGAAAUCACCACUUUGCAGUCAAUUCGAUCGAAACGUUUAGAUGUCCUAUAGCGAGGAUUUGCGAUCAGAAACGUUUUCUUCCCACGUAUGUUUCAUACUCUAGAAAAUGUUCCAAUAUUAACCAUUACUAGCCGGUCGGACUUCAUUUUGCACUAAAUCACCUUCAUUUCAUGUUCAUCCGUAGAAACACCUACCCACGUAGGUGAACUAAUGGUGUGCAAAAGUGCUUUAAAUGAGCGAGAGAGUGUUUCUUCGUAACAAAAUGUAUGGCCAGUUAGAACAUAUCCUUUUUUAUCUUCAACAAUUGAUUUUCUUUAUGCUUUGUACACGCCCGUCAGAAAUAAACUGUAACUUACCCUAAUUCUAAAAAAUCUCAUUAUUUUCAGCAGAUCGGUACAUUAUGAUGAUUUUCUAAAAUAUCCAUGUACAGAUACCAACAUUGUUACCUAUAAAGACAUGAAUACUUUUUAAGUGGCUGUAUUUAAACUGAAAGGAUCUAUGUUGCACGUCGCAAUAUUGUCAAGAAGGCCACAUGUUAAAGUGCCUGAGUCGAAGGAACCUUUGACCUCUCAACAGUCUCAACCCUAUAUUUCAGCUCCACGUCAUACAAGGGGAUGACCCAUAAAUUGAAGAGAAAAUGAUCGGUAGGUCAUUGUGUCAAUCGCCCGGAACAUUUCUCCCGAAUGAAACAGAAAGGAGAAAAAUCUCCAAAGUGUGACUUAAAACUAGUCCAGGGAGAUCGCAAGGUUAAAGCGCCAUAGUGAAGGAAGACCUUUUGACCCACUAUUCCGAUUGCGCUUCGUUCAUACCGUCGAACGACAUGUAACCGAAAAAGUUCGUCAAAAGGUCAAUGUCCCUUCAACUCUGGUACUUUAAUUGGUGCUUAUUGAGUUAAAUCGCACGCUAAAUGUUACCGUAAUGGCCUCUGUGAUACGAAAAUUUGACAACCUCAACCUCGGCUCAGCUGUUUUUUCUACAACUUACGCUUGACUCACGAAACUGUUAGAAAGCCUAUGCGCCAAAAGCGAUGUUGUACGCGAUUUGACUCACGUAUAGACUCUAUUUUUCUUGUGAGCGGGAAACUCAAUAUUUUGGUAAGGGUUGAUUGCUGCAAUCUUCAAUUUGCGUCGUUCGAAUUACGUUCUAGCAUAAAUCAUCAAUAAAUGAAUCAGAAAAUUGGCUUUCUUGAGUAACUUUUACAGCAUAGGUAAGAAGACAGUGCGGAGUCUCUAGAAUAUAUCGUCUCUGCUUGGACUCUCAAAAAAUUAUAUAGGCCCUUUCUAAAACACUUUGGCAUAAUUAUACUGCCGUGCUAAGCAAGAUCGCCGUGAGUCCAUUAAGAUUUUGCCGCACUUCUUGCAACUUAACACUUAAGAAAAUAAAAACUGUUUUACCUAUGCACCUCAAAUUUUCAGGUUCAGUUCUUGAUAGCAUUUGAGAAAACAUUCUGUAAAAACAUUCUCCCAAAAUACACAUGUUUUUUUGCUAUGAUACAUUGUUUCCAAAAACUUUAUAAUGGCGUUUACGGCGUUUUUGCGUUGCACGGCAGUAUAUACCGUUAGAAACCUACAGACAUCUAUACGUCGACGGCAAAUAGUUGAAUCAGGCAUUUUAUCAAAUGCCUAGGCCGGUAGUUAAAUUUUGACAGCUUACGGAAUUCUGUAAAUUUAUGGCAAGGAGUUCACGGGUUUUCAAUAUUUUGGGAAAAACAAUUCUUUAAAUUCGCCAACUUCGCAUGAAAAAUUCCUUACAUGCCUUUAGUACAUUUAUAUGUUCAUAUUUUAAAAAUUCAAUUUUUAAUGACAUGCUGAACAUUCCAUGAAUAAAGUGUGCAUUCAGGAUCUUAGAAUCGUUUGAAGUACAUAUACUAUUGAUGCUGCAUAUUUUUACAGAAAAUUCUUUCUGUCAGGAGCAACGAAUUAUUUUGUGUAAAAUUAGGAUAAGAGUCAAAAAUUCAAUAUAUAAGUAAGAAUAUUUGACCAUUUGCCUAGGUAUUUGAGCAAAUGCCUGAUUUGACUGUUUGCUUUCGACAUAUAUACGGUAUGGUGCCCGUGGAAACCGGGAGGACAUCCACGCUCUACGCCUUUCAAAUGGACCAGCUAGCGGAUAAAGUGCCUUUUCUUUAAUUUUGAAUAUUCAUAGAUCAUCGACGAAAACUCAUUUUAUCCGUGCGAAACUUAUUGAUCUCACAACCGCUUUGGAGUAAGUUGCGAUCUUGGAAACGGCGACUCUCUCACUUAUUCAUCAUGAUACCAUGAUCAAUUAAAGCAAAAAGACUUAAAAACCACAAUCUGAACCGAGAAUUUAGGGUCUCUUUUUUGAAAUAAGACUUACAGACAAAAAAAAAAAAUCUUAGAACACAAAAAAAUGUUCAUAGGGCAUUUUUCAAAACUUCAGUUCGCGAUUUAACACUUUUGGAACACGUAAGGAACAUUCUUGAUUAACAUACCUGAACAGGGCCACCUUUGAAAAGAGGAGAGCGCCUUCAACCGACUUCAUAAUCUUGAUGCAAAAUUCUGAUACAACUAUUCACGACAGUCGUUUUGCAUACCCGCCUAAUUGAAGGCAAAUCAUUGACCCGGGCAGCAAGGUACGAAUUUCAGCACUGUGAUACGUAAUUUUAAGGGAGCAAAACCUCCGGGGGUGCCUCACCUGGCAACCACAUAGCCCAGCCUCCGGGGGUGCUCCACCUGGCUCCAAAAGGGCCAACCCCCAGGGGCAUCCCCCCCUUGCCCUACCUACCCAACCUGGAACCCAGGAAGUCCAAUCCCCUGGGGCUCCACCCCUCGACUGCCAAGGAGCCAAGCCAACCGGGGGCUGCCCCCUUGACAUCCAAGCCGUCCAACCCCCGGGGGCUGCCCCCCUUGGCAUCCAUGGAGCCCAACCCCUCAGGGGUGCACCCCUCGGCUGCCAUGGAGCCCAACCCAACGGGGGCUGCCCCCAUCGGCAUCCAAGAAGCCCAAAACCAAGGGCCCGCACCCCUUGGCAGCAAGGAGCCCAACGCACCGGGGGCUGCCCCACCUGACAUCCAAGCAAUCCAACUGUCACAGGUAUUGAAAUACCAGUAACUUGUCCUUUUCUCAAACUUAUAAAUCUCUUAAACAUUUUCUUUAACUCACUUCAGAUGGCUGGAUUUCGUUCAGUUUCAGUCUUUUUCAACCCUAUCCUCCAGUCAUCUCCUUGAAUCACCACUUAUUUUAAUUACUAGACUUGCAACUGAUACCUACAUAGAUUAUAGCCAGCCAAUAGCGUGUAGACUUGUUGUCUCACCACCCGUGACGUCAGCAAGUCUAUAAAAGCUUGUGCUGCCCGAGAUUCUAGGUCUUUUUUCCAUCUUUGUGACCCGGACUCAUGUCCCUCGCUCUAAGGUCUUUUACCAUCCCCAUGACCCACGAAACGUAAACGUGUAACUCUCUCUCUGGUCUUUAACAUCCCUACGACCCACGACCCGUGUCUCUCUCUCUCUCAUCGGUUUUAUUCCAGCAGUAGUGCAACUCUUCACUUCAACUUUAACGCUGUGUAACUUAGUGACAUUUAAUUUGUGAAAUCUGUGAUAUGUGCCUUCAUCACGUCAAUACAAGCUAUUUCGUCU